CUGAAAUUAACGGUCAAAACGGCCGCUGAAAUAUUACAACCUAAUUCGCGUUGAAAGCGUUAUGUUUGGCGGUAAAAUGAAAGUUUAAUCAAUUACACUUGCUACAGGCUAACAGAAAACGACACAAAGUCGUUAGCUUCGUUACGGACUGCUGGAGAAAAUGGAAUCUGCUAAAAGAGAGUCUAAAGUCAGGCUAAUUGCUGACUUACUCAGGCGUGUUGACCCAUAUGAUGUCCAGGUGGCAGAAGUAGACGCACUCCUUGUCCAGGAAAGUGGCGCAGGAGCAGCGUUUGGUCCGCACAUGGCGCCCCUGGGUGGCGGGGGAGUCAGGUAAGGCUGCACAGUGAAGCACUGUACCUGAGUCAUCUGCAUCCUGAUCCUCAAUGAGACCUGCAGGAACCCCCAUCUCCAAGCAUUUCUUACUGUGGGCCUUGGAUUUCAUGUGCUUGGUCAGAUUUCCUGCAAUAAGAGAUGCAAUAAAGGUCUUACGGGUGGGUAGAGCUUGAACAAUAGCACAGAAGGAGUUUAUGUAAGAGAAUGCGGUCUUUGGGCAAGCUGUAUGUAAAGGGAGAAGUUGCAAUGGACACAGUGGUACGGCCGGACAUCAGAGUGGGUGCGGAUGUGUUUGCGCAGCAUGCUGGGCUUCUUGCAGCGGAUACCACAUUCCUCACAGAUGUAUUUACCCCGUCCACGCCCACGCACACGCCACAGAUUACAUAAUGCAUCCCCACCCCUGUGCUGCCAUGGAGCAAAACAAAGGCACCCUGCCAGCGGAAACACAGCAACCGAUGCGCAGGAGGAGAGGGCACGGUGAUUGUUUAUGACUAUAUCUUGGUCGGGAGCAUUUGUCAGGCAUCCAGCAGCGACUCCAUGAGCUGGGGCUCUGCAGCGGUUUGGGGCGUUGCCAGCGGUUUCCUCAGAAUAAUGUGACGAGGAGGGGAAUUCCUGUAAGGCCCAGGAAGAGGGGGGGGUGACCUGCCCAGACAGAGGAGGCCGGGUGACGUCACUUAAACCGGCUUUGGCACCCUCCAGGAGAUCCUUCUCCCGCUCUCCCUUCCUCGUUUGUGUCAGAGGGGGGAGGAAUUUAACGUGUCCUGCCAACUGCUGGUUGCCCAAUAGCUCACUCAGAGGUGAAUGGAAACACAGUGAGCAAACAGGAAGUCGUGCAACACCAGAGGAUUAACCGAGGCCACUGAUGAGGUGGAUGUUUCCAAUAGAGCCGGCAAGAUGAUGAAUUUAAAAGAGCGUACAUGUAUUCUUACGUGAAGCCGCCCAGCAGGGGAGAGGGAGGGGAGCUAAGGGAGUCUGAUGAUCUCAUGGUGUGUGGAAGAAGAAGAAGAAGUCAGAAGUGUCUAAGUUCAGCCCUGCUCUAUCUCUGGAUUGUUGCAUAACACCAACAGCUCAGUCCACAGGCUUAUCCUAUCCUCCCGCUCAUGUUGUACGUCAGCUGCUGCCUGGGCGAGGAGCACCAGCACGCCGCCGCAGACCAGCGCUAGUUAUUGCUGGGGGGGUUAAUGAGCUGCCGGAGAUGUUAACCCCUUGACUUUCACUGUUGUUACUCAGAAGAGAUGCUUACAGGAAAGAUGACAGAUUUGUUGGCUGAAACGUGUUUACUUUAUGUCAGCUAACUACAACUGAAACAAUUAGUGGAUUCAAUCAAUCCACAGAAAAUUACAUCUGCAACUAUUUUGAUUAUAAUUUUAUAAGCAACAAUGCCAACAUUUCAUGGUUCCAGCUUCUCAAAUGUGAAGAUUUUUGUUUCCUUGUAUUAAUAAUGUACUAUAAUAUAGGAGACUGAUGUCUGUUUGUGAAGAAGCAAACAGAAUAUUUUUGGACUGUUGGCUGGACAAAAAGAGCAAUCUGAAGACGUCGCCUUGAUCUCUAGUAAAUUGUGAUGGAUUGCUUUCCACUAUUUUCUGACUUUACAGACCAUAAUCACCAUUAAUCAAGAAAAUAAUUGGCAGAUUAAUCGAUGAUGAAACUAAAAGUCUGUUUGAGCUCUAAAAAUAAGUGAAAACAUUGUGAAUCCUGAUCAGUUUAAAUGCCCAUCACAGCAGGAUUGAGCCCCCAUGAAAAAAACACUAACAAGAGAGGUGGGCAGGGGAGCGAUUACAAACUUUGGCAAAUUUCAGGAGAAAUGAAAUGAUGCAAUGGCAUAAGAGAUAAUAAGGAGGGAGACAAAGACAGACACGAGCUGUGAAACAAAUGCUGAAGAGAAAAAAAAAAAGCCUGCACCGAGGAAUAAAACACAAACUGAUCAGCACAAAGACGAGCUCUCGCAGCACUGCACAAUACCUGUUACGAAGGAGAAGUGUGCCAAAGAAAGUCGACACUUUCUCAGAGAGUAGCUGCCGGCUGGAUUUUCCCUCCCGGAGUCAGACACGCUUACGGGGGAACACCUGACAUUCCCGACCCAUUCAGACACUUUCCCCAACCAAUAACUGCUGACAUUCCUGUGCUGCGCUCAGUCUCCCCACAAAAAAAAGAAAAGGACAAAACUGAAAUGCCACGGCAGAGCGGAAAGCAGAGCGUCUGGCCGCCGUCUGUCUGUCCCCUGUGUUUCUGUGCUUUCACUUCUCACUUCUGCCUGGUUUCUCCGCUGUCAGUGUAGCAACCACGCUUCUUUCUCCUCCCUGCCUGCCUUUGUGUUCCUUCUUCCCCCUCCUCGCCUCUCUUCUCCUCCCUCUUCGUCUUCCUUUAAAAAAAAAAAAUGAAAAAACAAAUCCCAGCUCUAAUUCAGGGAAAGCCCUGCCUGCCUGCCUGCCUGCCCUGCCUGCCCUGCCUGCCUGCGCGCUGCUUCCCCGAGCUGAGAAGCAGUGUUCUCUUUUUUGAUAAAAAAAAAAAUAAAAAAAAAAAGCAAAACAAAGCAGGAUGGAAGCUCUAAAAACAGCACAGGUCUAAUUCCACUGCAGCUCACUCACACUCACACACACACACACAGUCAACAUCAGAUUAGCAGCUAACCUACUUGUGGAGUACAACCUCCCACGUCCCCGCAGAGGCUAUAAAUACGCUUCUAUCUGUUCUGUGCAUUGAUCCUAUCAGUGUAGGGAGAGGCCAGGGACAGCCGCACACGGAUGGACGAAGACGCUAAUUGGAGAAGCCGCAGAAAGGUGUGUGACGUAUGGGGUUCACCUACACUGCCUCCUCAUCAGCACGCAGGGAAGAGAGACCGAGUGAAAGUAUAUUACUUUCAUUAUCACUCGAUCUUCAAAUUAGUUUCGCUAUUCAUAUAUUUCGAUUAUAAAACUCACAGAAUAGUGGAAUAACGUCUUCAAAAGUGCUUGUUUUGUCCAACCAACAGUCCAAAACGUAAACACAUUCAGUUUACUGUCACAUAAGAUGAAGAAAUGAAACAAAUGCCAAACACAGCUAUUCAGCAUUUACUAUAUAAAUCCUCUUAAAGCCCACCGGGUCGCCCUCUUGAGCUACUUCUAAGGUGCUUAGAUCGUGCAUACCAAUAUAAAUGUUUAAACCUUUGUCAAUAAGAACAUGCUUCCCAUCCUUAGAUCUAUUACAUUCUCCACAAUUCAAUCAUUUAAGUAAUUUGUCUGAAACAAUGAACAUCAAUUCAUUCAGAUUUACCGGCAUGGUAAAAAAAUUAACGUCCCGUCCCAUACAGAUGCCUAUCCCAAAUAUAGACUGGGUGAGUUCAGUGAUUUAAGCAAAUAUAGGCAUUAAUUAAAGUUUUACAGUAAGUCUC